UCCUUGGUGGUUCAGUGGUAAAGACUUUGCCUUCUAAUGCAAGGGUUUCAGGUUCAAUUCCUGAUCAGGCAA
rnacentral:tRNA from 1 species